GUUGAAGGUUUGAAGUAGCUACGAUGCGUUAUAAAAAAGAAAAACAGGAAGAAUAAAAGAGGGUAAGCACGCACGUACGUACGUAUGAGGUGUACGUGCACUCCCUCAAAUCAAAUCAAUCGAAGAAAAA